rnacentral:rRNA from 1 species
AUCGAUAAUCCACGUUAANUUUAACUAUAAUAUAAAAUUUAUAUACCACCAUCUUAAGAAUUAAUUUAAAAAUCUUUCUCUAAACAAAAAAUAAAAAGUUAGGUCAAGGUAUAAUUCACAUUAAAGAAUGAGAUGAAUUACACUAAACAAAAUCCAAAGACAAUUCAUUAAUACAUUUAUAUAAAUAAGAAUUUAAAAGUAAUAUUUAAAUAAUAUUAUAAUAUGAUACAAACAAUAAAUGUGCACACAUCGCCC